ensembl:lncRNA
AGCACCUGUUCCAGACAUCAGGAUUUACAGAUUUGCAGUGUAUUUUAAUUGGGAACAAAAUGACAAAUUUGAAAUUAUGAUUUUUAUAACUACGAAAACUUCAAUACUUGCAUACAUCAUUAAGUGUGCUACGAAAAAGAGAAUCAAAUGAAGUUAAAGACGGUUCCCUCUCCUGUGUUCCUUCUCAAGGUAGUGCUCCAGCUCAAACAAUUCUCGCCGUGCGACCUUGGCAACGAACCAGCGGGUCAGCGCACAUCCGGCUCAACAACGAAUGGUGCAUGUGUUGCUGAAGCAUUUCCUUGGUUGGUGGGAUGAUCUCCUCAUCGUCACCGUUGAUGCCGUUGACCUUGGUGUGGAGCAGGGUAAUGCCGGGUGCUGCAGAUGUGUUGAUACGGAUUCGGAGAGGCGAGGCGUUUAUGAAGGUUUUGCCAGAAUGUGCACCAAAAAAGCUAUGAAAAUUUGAAUGUUAAAUAUGAUUCAUAUUUCAGUGUCAUUCAAAUAUAAGUCAAGCUAUGAAAAAGUAAUAGAAUUUUGGCGACUAAAUUGCAAUAAUUGUCUUACACACACAAAGGCACCCAUGCAUGCAGGCUGGCGGGCAGGGAAUCACACACACACACACA